rnacentral:lncRNA from 1 species
AUUUCAUAGAAGGCUCCUACUUGCACUAGGACUUGCGAGAUAAAUGGGCGUUCUUCAGGGAGGAAAAGAACCUUCAGGCAGGAGGAGCACACAGUCAAAGGCAGAGAGGUGCUGCCGCCUGACAGGACGCCAAGCAUCUCUGAACGGCUGGACUGUGGGAUCUAGGCUUCAGCGGACACACACGCCGGGUGCCUGCUGGCCGCGUCAGCACACGCGGCCCGCUGCCCAGGCCAUCUGGUCCUCCACGGCGAGCCAUAUGGAACGGAGGCCCCACCACUUUGGAAAAGCUGAACUUGUUUCUUCGGUGGGUUCUCUGCUUGACUGGGCUUCCCACCUCUAUGGAAUCAGGCAUGGAUAUAAUCACAGCUUCCUUAUUUUCCUUCCUGAGAAUCAAUGACCUAAAUUUUAUUAAGAGAGCUAUUAGACAGUGCAUCUUACUCAAGUUAAGUAAUGACCAAAAAUUCCAC